GUGUUUUUCUAUGCAUGCUACAAAGCUGUCUUUGAAUUAAUCACUAAAUAACUUUGUAAAAUAUGCUUGAGGCUUAAAUGUUUUCUCUUGAAGUAUUAACGGGGGAUAAUAUCAAUAUGUCAAAAGAUCAAUUAUUCUAGAUUAUCGUCCAUGGAAACUUAUGAACUGAUUAUAAGGUGUUUUGAUUCAAAUGGUGGGCUAUUCUUAUGAAUAUAGACAGUUAUUUACAACCUUAUCAUACUCUUCUAAUAUGGAGGUUAAACAAAAGGUAUAUUAAGAGGUUUUACUUAUUAACCUUUUAUAUAAAAGAAUAAACAUACGACCUUUACAAUUUGUUACAAGGAUAUCCAUUUGAUGGUUAUAGGAAAUAUGCAUUAAAGAGGAGAUCCGGGGAAAUAUAUAAAAGCUAUAGUACUUGAACCAUAAUUGCUUGUUCCUUUGCAACUUCCUUGUUGAACUUUUAAAACAAAUAACAUUAUAGUUUCCCAUAGCAAAGCAUUUAACGCUUGAAAAAAACAUCAUCAAAUAUAU
rnacentral:lncRNA from 1 species